UAGUUUUUCGCAUUAAUGAAAGCAUAAGCUUCAUUUGCCGUCUAAACAUUUUGUUAGCGACAAUACUUGCUUUCUGAGCAUGAGCUUUGCAUAUUCUUCAUAUUUUUUAUAGUCUCUAAGUAGUAUACUCAAAGAGUUUGUCCAAUUAUUUCAAAGUCAGCCCUUUUACCUAGACUGAAAAGAUCCCUCACUUGUUACAUAGAUUCUCUUUUGCAGGGAGGUUUCCUGGUUAAUUAGGAUUCGCUAGAGCGGAAGAUGGUAUUAGUUUGCGUCCUUCUUGGAAUGAUCAAGUUAAUGCAAACAUGCAGACCACUGCAUAAUAUCAGCACAAUAUGCAGACGGGCAAUCAUAACUUUCAGAAAUGGACAGCAACGAGAUGGUUCUAUAAGUAAUCUAGUGGUAAAUCUUGUGUGCUUCAACUGUUCAUAAUUUUACAUGAAUCCUUUUUGUGUUGAAGAUGAAGAACAAGGUAUAGGUUCAGGAACAGUGUGGGAACGAAGCAUCAGGUAAACUGUUGAUAAGGUUGCAAGCCAUGUGUAAUGUUAAGAAGAACAAGAGAAAGAAAUAAUGGUGGGGUUGUGCCCGGGUGACAGUGGCGAAUUGAUGUUGAAACCUGAAAACAGCCAUUUUGGAUUGUGAGCUUCCAUUUAUUGGAACUUCUUCAGUAAUUAUAUAAGGAUGUGAAUUUUCAGCCACUUUCAAGCUGUGACAUUCAACAUCAGUUGCAUGUUAACGAGCUGCAUCCUUACCACUGAGCUAAACCUGCGAAGGCUAAGACAGGUUCUUUCAAGCACUAGCAGAGGGUGAGGUUGUUCGAUGGCUGGAGAAAAUGGUCUUUGUGUACGUGUGUGUCUGGAUCAUAGUAAAUGCCGGCACUAUAUGCUAAUUACAUCUUAAGGGUUCUUCUUGUUUUCUUAUUUUGUCUAUUUGUUCUGUAUGUUUGGUUCUAAUUCAGAUUCUGCUGGUGCAGACAUUCUGUUUGCUGAUCAGCUUAAUCUAGCGAGUGACACAUAAGUCAGGGCGAACCAUUGUACAGGCCCUUCAGAUUUCGUUAUUCUGUGUUGUCAUCAUCAAUGUCAAUUAUAUGUUACCAGUUUGUCUUCAGAGUUACUGAGAAUCAGUAAAAAAAAUAAAAUCAGUAUCUAUUUCUCUUCA